CUCUGACAUGUGAUCCUCGUUACAGGAAGGACGCGGCGAGCGCCGUCCCCUGGGGCUGCCCGGCUCGACCUUGUGGGAAGAGGUCUGGUCCUGGCCCAGGCACCACUCAUGCCUUUAAACUUUGCCAGCGGAUGGUUUUUAAUUACAACCAGAAGACGUCGCCCCGCGCCCCGGCCCUUCGGGGAUGACCACUGCUCACAUCCUCUGCCUUUGGUCUUCCUGCCUGCACAGCUUGACGUGGGCAGAUGAAAGUGUGAGUGUGUCCCCGCCAAAAAAACAAAAAAAACACGCCAGAAAAAGAAAAAGGCAGUCAUAAAAUCACACUGCUGAGACGUCCCCAGCCCAGAGUGCCAUGAGGUGGUGGCUACUGGGAGCCCCAGCCCGGGGAGCGGGGCCGUCCCCUUCAGCCCUUCUAAAAAUAACAGCUGGGAGCCCGGCGAGCGCCGGGUGCCUAACUGGAACCAGCUUUCAAACUCCCAGCUGGAAGAGGCUUUCAAAGCCUACCCCAGCCUUUCUGGGAAAGAGCAAUUAAAAAUAGUGAAGGACAGACAGCACCCGUCCCUGCUGCCCCUCCUGCGCUCACCCUGGGGAGGACACGGAGAGUUGGUUUGCAGGGCUGGCAUUUCCCCUGGCUCAGUGUAGAAAGACCAGCAGGGUCUGGAGCAAUGGAGCUGGGGCUGCAGGAAUGGCAUGGGCUGGGGAGGAAUUCAGCCUCCUCGAUCCCAGGAGAAGGGGGGCAGCAGGGCUAGGGUACCCCAGGGAGAGCUGCUGGGGCUGUUCCAACAUUUUCCUCAGCUGGUUGCCAGCAUGCUUGAGCUGGAGCUGGCAUGGAGCUGCGGUUGCAUCCAGGCUGGAGCUCAGCAGGACAAAGGCCAGGUUGUCCCUGGAGGGAUUUGCAUAGAGCGACAUCCUGCAGCCCCCUCCAGCUGGCCAGGGUGUGAGGAUGGCUCUGGGGCCAGGUGGGGGACUCUGAGCAGCCCACAAGGUCUCCAGCCUCUCCACCCACAGAUCUCCAGCCCCUCCUCCAUGGGUCUCAGCCCCACCACUCCUGAGGUCAUCCAUGGCUGAGAUGGUGCUGGACCCCUGCACACUCUGAGCCUGGAGAUGGCCCCCAUGCAGGUCCAGCUGGUGGCACCUGCCUGAUGCCUGUCAGGUCUUUGGUCAACCCGCCAUGGUGCUGGCAUGGAGCCUGUGAGCCCAAGCACUGCUGCCACUGUCCCCACUCCUGCUGCACCCCCAAUUCCACCUUCCCCACCACUAGCCCCACAGUGAGGGCAGCCAGCCUGGCCCCUCGGGUGUCACAGCUGCCUCCUUGGCUGGGGAUCCCCAGAGGCACAGGGCUGCUCCUGGCAUCUGUGCAGUCACACUUCCCCAGACCCAUGGGUCUCCUGCCAGAAUCUGCCCGUGCUUCCUCCCACCUCCCUACGGAGGGUGUGGGGCCAGAGCAGAACCCCCGAGAUGCCCCAGCAGUGGUUCCCCUGGUGCUCCUUUCCUCUCCCAUGUGCUCAUCUCAUUAUGUCCUAAUUCCCUAACGAACGGCCAUGAGAGAGGAAGUCUCGUGGAAGCCUGUCCUGGCAGCAUCUUCCUGCCACCAGCCCAAGCACCAACUCCAGCAGAACGUGAUUUCCUCAGGAUCAGACAGACCUAGUUGGUGUGUUUGGCCUGGCACAAACCCCGUGUCUCUCCUUCCUCUCUUUGACUGACCAGGGCACAACUUGUUCUUCUCCCCAGUUUGCCCUUAUCAAGGUCACAAACAAGGACGUCCCACGUCCUCCUUUAAAAUCCUGGCAAAAGGUUCAUGUUCCCCCUGCCACCAGCAUGUGCUGGAUUUCCAGAAGCCUCCCAGGAUCCUGGGCUCUGAGUGUGGCUGCCACUGGUACCCACAGCCAGACAAAGUCCUCCUGGUCCUGUGGGGAUGGUGGUACUUUGGCAUCAUCCAGCUGUCCUGUCUAUGUUCCUGCUGCAGGACCACAGCGUUCUGGUGGGGAUGGACCCGUAGGUGAGCGGGGGGAACCGUGUUGUGUGUGUCUGUAACUUCAGAGGAGGCUUCUAGGCCAUUUUGGGGACAUGGAGGAAAAAUCAAAACCUUGCAAAGUGGUUGAUCCCAGGGUGUCCAGUGGCUGGAAGGCAACCCUGUCAUCCAAAGCAGUAUGACUAGCAGGGUGAGGGAGGGGAUUUUUCCCCUCUGCUCCACUCUGAUGAGACCCCCCUGCAGUGCUGGGUUCCGCUCUGGGGUCCCCAACACAAGAAGGACAUGCAACUGUUGGAGUGAGUCCAGAGGAGGCCACGGAGAUGAUCCCAGGGCUGGAGCAGCUCUGCUCUGGAGACAGGCUGGGAGAGUUGGGGUGUUCAGCCUGGAGAAGAGAAGGCUCCAGGGAGACCUCAGAGCACCUUCCAGUGCCUGAAGGGGCUCCAGGAAAGCUGGGGAGGGGCUUGGGACAAGGGCAGGGAGGGAUGGGACAAGGGGGAAGGGUUUCAAACUGGAAGAGGAGAGACUGAGAUGAGAUCUGAGGGAGAAAUUCUUCACUGCAAGGGAGGUGAGACCCUAGCCCAGGUUGCCCAGGGAAGCUGUGGCUGCUCCAUCCUUGAAGUGUUGAAAGGCAGGUUGGAUGGGGCUUGGAGCAACCUGGUCUGGUGGGAGGUGUCCCUGCCCAUGCAGGGGGGUUGGAACUAGAUGAUCUUUAAGGUCCCUUCCAACCCAAAGCGUUCCAUGGUGCUAUGAUGCUCCCAGCUCACUGCUCUCCUGGCUGCAGUAGCCCAGCAAAGCUCAGGGGAAGGCAUCUGUCCCCACAGCUCUUCUUGAGGAAUAUUUGCUCCUGGAAAGAACAAAGGGAAGCCCAGGGCCAGGGGGCCCAGCUGAGACACCCUGGAGGGGAUGCCCCCAGCAGUGAGGGUCCUGCAAGGUGGUCGUUCACAGAGAAGUGGGGCAGCUCAUGUGGGGUCCACCAGGGAGGUGGAGAAGAGCUCUGGAGCACAGCAGAGAUCCAAAAGGGAGAUGGGGCUUCUCCUGCCCCAGCCCCAGCAGGUGAAGGCAGGCAGGAGCACAGCAGGGGCAGUGGGAGUAGCCUGGUGGGGGGCCCAGCUGGUGCGUGGGCCCCUGGGAGGCUGCAGAGAGGGAGGAGAAAUGGAAAACGGCUCCUUUGAGCCUUCCCCGUGUGCUGUAGGAAGGCAGGAGGGGGGUGAGGCAGGGAGGGCAGAGCUUGGGGGACUCCCUGGCAGAGUCCAGGAGGGGAUGGAGAGUCUGUGUCCAGGCAGGGAGAUGGGCCUUUGGGGCUGGACCCAGCUCCAGAUACCGAGAUCCACUGGUGACCAUGGACAUCACCAACACAGCUGCUGGACCAAGAGCAGGACUGUCCCAGCAGCCCACAAACCCCACUGAACCUCAGUCCCCAGGAGCCACCAACUCAGCCCCAGCAUCCUCCCAUAGCCCAGGGUGGGCUCCCGGGGGAAAAGGAGCAGGCAGGAGCCUUUUCUCCUGGAGCUACCAUCCUGCCCUGCCCAGGGAGGUGCUGGAACCUGCCCAAGGCAACAGACUCCCACUCUGGAAUUUUCAGACCUUCUGGGCUUGGAUCCUGACUCCUGAUGGAUCCUCUGGCUUAGCAGUGGGAGGACAGAGCUCCAGCUCUGCAGGGCUGCAGUGGGACAUCUCUUCCAGAUCAUCAGGUAUGUGCUGGGAUGAUACAUGUAUGGUCCAGAGAGUGGGGCAUGUUGAUAAUCCACACUUGUUCUUCAUCAACAUUUAUACGUCCAUCCUCCACUCCUGUUCAGCACCACUCAUUUCCCCUAUUGAAGGUGGAAUCCAAUGACAGCCUCCUCCAUUGGCCCGUGAGUGACAAGGCUCAUUCCCAAGGGGACAGGAGCCCCACUGAGGGAGAACAGCCAGCUUGCUGGUGACCACAAGAGCUUAGCUGUGCCCAAGGAGCAUCCCUCUGGCUGCCUUGGAAGCAAAGCCAGAAGCCCAGGAAAGUUCUGGUGCUCCAAAUCACAGGAUGGUGGUCAAAGGCUGGAGCUGGCAGUACAAUGGCCUGGAGGUUUGCAUUUUGUGUUGAGAAGAUGUCCAGAACACUUGAGACAAUGAGAGAGUCCCACUACAACAUGCCCAUCUGGCAAUACCUUCAUGUCUUCAGAGUUGCCAGCUCAGCUCUGAGCAUGUCACCACAUCUGCCUUACUUCAAGCCACCAGUGUGACUUUGUGCUCACAGAGGAGCCAGUUCCCUGGGGCAGCUGCCCCCAAGAGCUGCUGAAAUGCAGUGAGCAGGGUCAUAGAGAGGGACUUUUGACAAUGGCAGGGGUGUCCCUGCCCAUGGAAAGAGGAUGGACUACACGGUCUUUAAGGUCCUUUCCAACCCAAAACCAUGAAAUGAUUCUAUGAUUCUAUGACAUGACAACCCCUUCUCAGGUUGGCAUGUCCUGGGGACAGCAGCUGAUGGAGGGUGGACAGAGACUGAACCGUGAAAUGGGCUUGACCUAAAGGGAUCAUUUCAAUGAGGUGCAGGAAAAAUUAGAGCCAGGGCAGGGGUCCCCCAGCCAUGGGAGACAGAGGGAGAGGGAUGCAGAGGAAUGGCAGGGGAGCUGGUGGCACCCUGAGAGAAGAAGCCCAUGUUGGAGGGGUGAAGGUGCUGCAAGGUGUGUCCGAUUCCCUGGAUGGCUUCAGGGAAGGAGGCCCCAGCAGCAUGGCACAGUUUAUCCCAGCUGUGCUUCUCUGCGAUGCAGCCAUUCCUGCUUCCCCAAAAUACUUGGGAGGGCUGGAGGAGGCCAACUCCACCACCCUCAUGGAUGCUGCAGGGAGCCUAUUUUAAGCCUUGCUAACGUAGGAGGAUUAAAUUUGGCUGGCUGAGACACGUCCUGCUCCCAGCUGUCCCCCAGCCUCCCCUGAGGUUGGCAGCUCUGCUGCAGGCACUGCUCACAAUGCCGGAGCCUGCCCUGGACCUCCAGGGUCAGCUGCUCUGCACCAGGGGAACCCAAAACUGGGGCAUCUUCCUGGCCACAGAGGCACUGGCUCAGAUUGGUGGCAAAAGCUCUUCCAAGCAUUGACGUCAACAGGUUGACCCUGGGGAACCUUGUGGAAAGAACUGUGGGAUGAACACCAAGAACCUGGUGGGAAGCACCAUGAGAUGAACCCUAGUGAAAAGGGUGGGUCUGAAGCAGGCCAAGGUCUCCAGCCCCACAGUCCCCUCUGGAGGGACCAGUGCCCUUCCUGGGGGGAGAUGAGUGAUGGCAGGGGAGGUUCCAUGCUUUCCCCCCUGCCCCAGCCAGCCCAUGGCCAGGGGGAGGGGCUAGGAGUUAGCCCAGGUCUCCCUGCCCCUGUCUCUGCCCCUGCCCAUGCCCUGCCUGCCAAGGAUGCUGGUGCUUGGGGAGCCCCACCAAGACCACCCCAUUGAUCCACUCCCACAGACGUGGGGCUCUCCAUGGGGCACACGGUCCUCUCGCCCACUCUCGCCACCCUGCUCCUUCAGAUCCCAGCACACGCUCUGUGUUCCUGGUCAGGUGGGUCGUUUUAUUAAUUUCUGAAGCACUGGUGGCUGGAGAGCUUGCAGAAGAGCUGAUGGAAGAGCUUGCAGUGCCGGGUGUGUUGACGGAGCGUCACACCCAGCCAUGGCUGCAGCACCAAGCGCUGUCGGGAGGCUGGGCAGGGAGGGACAAACGUUGGGCUGGAGGAAAGGAGAGGAGACCACGGAUUUACACCCUGCAGAGCCCACCACAACCUCCUCCCGAGCACCGCGCCGGCCUCCCUUGCUGGUUUCUGCUGCCAGAGGGAACACCGCUGGGCGGCUCUUCCUCCCUUUGGAGGAUGGGGUAAUAAUACCCAUCACCUAUUUGCGAGGCCGUCGUGAAUUUUCAUGAGCUUCCAUCUGAACGGGGCUUUGAGCAGGAAAACUGCUGUAUCAGCUCUAGGCGAUGAUAAACAAUACUCAGCAUUUACAUAUUCAAAGCACUUUGAUUAACUCUCGGGGUUUACGGACUUGAGUCGAUUCCCACCCGGCCGCGGCGGCAGCUGGACGGGGUUAGCGGCGGCCCUGGGUGCGAGCUGGGGGAGAGCUGGGGCUUCACCCCGCCUGGCAGAGGCAGGGAAAACCCCUCGCCGAAGGAGAACAAAGCACCUCCUGCCUUCAAUCCUGCCUAAAAAAGGAGAACUAACUAGGGCUCGUCCCCGCCGGCAGGAAGGGGCGAGCUCCUGCCAUGCGGAGCGUGGAGCGUGGUUGGUUCUGCUGCAAAAGCUGGAGCUGGGGUGUUAAAUAGCUGUGAAAUUCUAACUUGAUUCAUGCAGGAGUUGCCAAAUAAAAAGAUUUUUUUCCCCCUUUUAAA